UACGAAGGGGGCUAGCGUUGCUCGGAAUCACUGGGCGUAAAGCGCACGUAGGCGGAUUGCUAAGUCAGGGGUGAAAUCCUGGAGCUCAACUCCAGAACUGCCCUUGAUACUGGCGGUCUCGAGUCCGGGAGAGGUGAGUGGAACUGCGAGUGUAGAGGUGAAAUUCGUAGAUAUCUGGAGGAACACCGGUGGCGAAGGCGGCGUUCUGGACUGCAACUGACACUGAAAAACGAAAGCCAGGGGAGCAAACGGG
rnacentral:rRNA from 1 species